rnacentral:rRNA from 1 species
UACAGAGACCUCAAGCGUUAUCCGGAAUCAUUGGGCGUAAAGCGUUCCGAUAGGUGGUUAUACAAGUCAGAUGUGAAAUCUCCGAGCUCAACUCGGAAUCUGUCAUUUGAAACUGUAUGACUAGAGGGGCAAAGAGGAAGUUAGAACGAACGGUGUAGUAGUGAAAUGCGUUGAUAUCGUUCGGAAUACCGAUAGCGAAGGCAGACUUCUGGGUGCCACCUGACACUGCUAGGACGAAAGCGUGGGGAGCGAAUGGGAUUAGAACCU